AUCUCUAUCCUAAUCUUAUCUCUAUCAUCAUCUUAUCUCUAUCCUCAUCUGAUUGAGUUUGUUUCAACUUGACCCAUUUGAAUAUGAUCUUAUCAUUGCUUAGGUGGCAAAAUCUAUCUUUAUCUUCCCAUCGAUUGUAGCUUCCCAGUAUAAAAAUCCUUUAAUUUUCAGCCUUUUUUUCUUCAUUUUCUCAACUUCUGCUCACUAACCUGUUCAAAAUCAAAUUCAAAUUAAAAUUUAAAUAUUUAUAUCAAAAUUACAGUAAAAUCAAGAAAUUAAAUGAGGAAAAAAAUGUGAAUUUUACAACUCAUCAG
rnacentral:lncRNA from 1 species